rnacentral:rRNA from 1 species
GACGUAGGAGGCGAGCGUUAUCCAGAUUCACUGGGCGUAAAGCGCAUGUAGGCGGAUGUCUAAGUCGUGUGUUAAAGCCCCUGGCUCAACUGGGGGAGGUCAUGCGAGACUGGAUGACUUGAGGGCAACAGAGGCACGUGGAACUCCCGGUGUAGCGGUGGAAUGCGUAGAGAUCGGGAAGAACACCCGUGGCGAAGGCGGCGUGCUGGGUUGCAACUGACGCUGAGAUGCGAAAGUGUGGGGAGCAAACGGG